GACGAACGCUGGCGGCGUGCUUAACACAUGCAAGUCGAACGGAAAGGCCCUGCUUUUGUGGGGUGCUCGAGUGGCGAACGGGUGAGUAACACGUGAGUAACCUGCCCUUGACUUUGGGAUAACUUCAGGAAACUGGGGCUAAUACCGGAUAGGAGCUCCUGCUGCAUGGUGGGGGUUGGAAAGUUUCGGCGGUUGGGGAUGGACUCGCGGCUUAUCAGCUUGUUGGUGGGGUAGUGGCUUACCAAGGCUUUGACGGGUAGCCGGCCUGAGAGGGUGACCGGCCACAUUGGGACUGAGAUACGGCCCAGACUCCUACGGGAGGCAGCAGUGGGGAAUAUUGCACAGUGAGCGGAAGCCUGAUGCAGCAACGCCGCGUGCGGGAUGACGGCCUUCGGGUUGUAAACCGCUUUCGCCUGUGACGAAGCGUGAGUGACGGUAAUGGGUAAAGAAGCACCGGCUAACUACGUG
rnacentral:rRNA from 1 species